AUUGAACGCUGGCGGCAGGCCUAACACAUGCAAGUAGGACGCAGUUGCGAACGGGUGAGUAACGCGUAGGUAACUACCUAUUAGAGGGGGAUAACUAUUGGAAACGAUAGCUAAUACCGCAUACUAGUAGAUGGACCUGCGUUGUAUUAGCUAGUGGGUAGGGUAAUGGCCUACCUAGGCAACGAUACAUAGCCGAGCUGAUAGGGGGAUCGGCCCAACUGGGGCUGGGACACGGCCCAGACUACUACGGGAGGCAGCAGUAGGGAAUCUUCGGCAAUGGGGGGAAGCCUGACCGAGCAACGCCGCGUGAGUGAAGAAGGUUUUCGGAUCGUAAAGCUCUGUUGUUAAGGAAGCGGUACUUAACCAGAAAGGGACGGCUAACUACGUGCCAGCAGCCGCGGUAAUAC
rnacentral:rRNA from 1 species